GUGCUGGUGGCUCAGUUGGAUGGAGCCUUGUCUGUAAAACAAAAGGUUUCUGGUUCAAUUCCUGGUCAGGGCA
rnacentral:tRNA from 1 species